UCCACAGGCAGCCCUCAGGCACAUUCUUCACUUUCUCUGCCCUACAGACUGCAAGUGCAACCUACAGGAAGAUCACCACAAGCAGCAGUGACAGUGCCCAUUCUGUACUCAGCUGGUCUCCAUUGAGGUUGCCUACCAUCUUGUGGCUGAAAAAGCCAUUGGUUCCCACACCAUGCAUCACAACUGCCCUUCAAAGAAAGAUCCUCAUGCAACAUUCGGAUGAGAUUGUGAUCCUGCUGCGAUGUUGAGGCAGAGACAGAAGCAGCACUGGAAGAACUAGAUCUCUUCCUGGAAGCCAGAUCAAUUUCCAGCUGUAGCAACAUCAAUAAAAAAAUUAAAAAAUAACAACCA